rnacentral:rRNA from 1 species
AUUGAACGCUGGCGGCAGGCUUAACACAUGCAAGUCGAGCGGGGUGAUGGUGCUUGCACUAUCACUUAGCGGCGGACGGGUGAGUAAUGCUUAGGAAUCUGCCUAUUAGUGGGGGACAACAUCUCGAAAGGGAUGCUAAUACCGCAUACGUCCUACGGGAGAAAGCAGGGGAUCACUUGUGACCUUGCGCUAAUAGAUGAGCCUAAGUCGGAUUAGCUAUGUGGGGGGGUAAAGGCCUACCAAGGCGACGAUCUGUAGCGGGUCUGAGAGGAUGAUCCGCCACACUGGGACUGAGACCAGGCCCAGACUCCUACGGGAGGCAGAAGUGGGGAAUAUUGGACAAUGGGGGGGACCCUGAUCCAGCCAUGCCGCGUGUGUGAAGAAGGCCUUAUGGUUGUAAAGCACUUUAAGCGAGGAGGAGGCUCUUUUGGUUAAUACCCAAGAUGAGUGGACGUUACUCGCAGAAUAAGCACCGGCUAACUCUGUGCCAGCAGCCGCCGUAA